rnacentral:rRNA from 1 species
AUUGAACGCUGGCGGCAUGCUUUACACAUGCAAGUCGAACGGCAGCGCGGGGGCAACCCUGGCGGCGAGUGGCGAACGGGUGAGUAAUGUAUCGGAACGUAUCCUGUAAUGGGGGAUAACCAGUCGAAAGAUUGGGUAAUACCGCAUACGCACGAGAGUGGAAAGUAGGGGAUCGCAAGACCUUACGUUAUAGGAGCGGCCGAUAUCUGAUUAGCUAGUUGGUGGGGUAAAGGCCUACCAAGGCGACGAUCAGUAGCUGGUCUGAGAGGACGACCAGCCACACUGGGACUGAGACACGGCCCAGACUCCUACGGGAGGCAGCAGUGGGGAAUCUUGGGCAAUGGGCGAAAGCCUGACCCAGCGACGCCGCGUGAGGGAAGAAGGCCUUCGGGUCGUAAACCUCUGUCAUGGGGGAAGAAGCAAGUGACGGUACCCCAAGAGGAAGCCCCUGCUAACUACGUG